UACGUAGGGCGCAAGCGUUGUCCGGAAUUAUUGGGCGUAAAGAGCUCGUAGGCGGUUCAGUAAGUCGGGUGUGAAAACUUUGGGCUCAACCCAAAGCGUGCAUCCGAUACUGCUGUGACUGGAGUUCGGUAGGGGAGCGGGGAAUUCCUAGUGUAGCGGUGAAAUGCGCAGAUAUUAGGAGGAACACCGGUGGCGAAGGCGCCGCUCUGGGCCGAUACUGACGCUGAGGAGCGAAAGCGUGGGUAGCAAACAGG
rnacentral:rRNA from 1 species